AGGGAAGAUGCUCCCUGGACGGCAAAGAUCGUUCCUUUGUCCUCUGCUCCCGAAUUUGGCCCAAAAAGCAAAAGCAAAAGCAGGAAUCAGAUGCCCAUGCACGAUAAAUUUUCCUUUUAAGAACGUCUUCCUGAGGAGGUGAGAGCGAAGAGCGCCAGAGGAGAAGAGGAGACGGUUAGAAGGAAAAAGGGCUCCCAGCCCAGCUCACUUCUUCCACAAAUUGGUAAUUAAGCUUUUUCAAGUUUCUGGUAUAAUCUCUUUCUCAAUAUAUAUGAACCGAUUUCAAGUUUCAUUAAUGUAAUACUGUAUUAUGCUCAAAAUGUUUAACCAGUCUCUUUCUUUGAUCUUUCUGUUUGUUAAUCUUAGACAUACUCGAGUGAGAAUAUAGUGAUCUGACAGUUUGAUCUGUUGGAAGGAACUAAACUCUAUGUUUGAUUCUUAUUUUUUAGGUUUGUAAUGGAGGUUGAUGACCUAUAUUCCCCAUCUGCAAAUGGGAAAGACCAUGCAAAUGGUAGAGUUGAGCUAAAUGGGGAUGUUGCUAGCACUAAUGGACAAGGAGGGAUGAAUUGCAUUUCAGAAACUAAUGCCAGUGUGGAAAUUUCUGCUGCAAUUUCUAUGGUAAACUUAACUUAUCGUGACAUGUUGGAAAGAGUUGACUCAAGAGACCAAAAGAAGAAGGUGAAUACAUUUUGAUUAACACUAAUUUUAAUGGAAGGAUGGAUAAAUUUUUAACAUAGUCAUCUAUAUAUAUCAUAUAGGUGUCUAACUUUGUUAAGUUAGAAGAAAUAUAUUAUGCGGGAAAAUAUAGAUCGGAUAUAACUGAUGAAAAGGGAAAUCAGUAUAUAAUUUUUCGACCGGUUGAAGAAUUUUUUCCUUCCAUUAAAACGGUAUGUAAAAAUUGUAAAUUUUAUAAAUAAUUUUGAGUUAAUUUAAAAUACUUAAAAUUUUCAGAUAAAAGUUGAAAUGGAGGAGGGGAUCAAUGAUAUACCCGGUUCAUUGAUAGAAGACAAUAGAUAUUGUCUCUCUAUCCACUAUCGACACGUGAAUGAAAAAGAUCUUAGCACUCUAUCUAAAAGAGUGCAAUUAAUAUUGAAAAAUUGGUCAAAGUUUCACACUACCGAGGGAAUAAAAGUGACCGAGAUAAGGUCCUCCAUAAAGUGGGAUAAGGGCGAUGCCCUUAAAUACUUAUUGGAGACGUUUCUGGUCAUCUCAAACUCCAACAAAGAUCUAAUCCCAAUAUACAUUGCAUUGGAGAUGACUGAACUGAUGAAGAUGCAUUCAAGGUAGUUAUUAAUAUUUGUUGUCUAAAUAAAUAAAGAUAAUUUGCUAAUAUAUGAGUUUUUUUACAGGUUUUAAGAAGUAUGAACGGUGGAUUUCCAUUAGUAAUCCCUUAAAAGAACUCUGGAUUUUCAAUAGUAGUCACUUAAAACAAUAAAGAGAUCAAACCACUUUGUACUCUCUUUAGAGAUCUUGAAGAUGUACUUCAUUAUUUUGUUAGGGUAAGUAUAGAUUUGUAAAGAUAGGGUGAUAUUCCAAACUGGGACAUGAUGCCCUGUAUCCUCAAUGAAAGGAAGUUUCUCAUUCCAAAAUCAAUGAAAUUUAAAUAUGUUUUGUUU